rnacentral:rRNA from 1 species
GACGAACGCUGGCGGCGUGCCUAAUACAUGCAAGUUGAGCGCUGAAGGUUGGUACUUGUACCAACUGGAUGAGCAGCGAACGGGUGAGUAACGCGUGUGUAAUCUGCCUUUGAGCGGGGUACAACUUUUGGAAACGAAUGCUAAUACCGCAUAAAAACUUUAAACACAAGUUUUAAGUUUGAAAGAUGCAAUUGCAUCACUCAAAGAUGAUCCCGCGUUGUAUUAGGUAGUCGGUGAGGUAAAGGCUCACCAAGGCGAUGAUACAUAGCCGACCUGAGAGGGUGAACGGCCAAAAUGGGAAUGAGACAAGGCCCAAAAUCCUAAGGGAGGCAGCAGUAGGGAAUCUUCGGCAAUGGACGAAAGUCUGAACGAGCAAAGCCGCGUGAGUGAAGAAGGUUUUCGGAUCGUAAAACUCUGUUGGUAGAGAAGAAAGUUGGGGAGAGUGGAAAGCUCAUAAAGUGACGGUAACUACACAGAAAGGGACGGCUAACUACGUG